CUGGUUAUCUGGUCUGGCAAACAACCGUGCAGGUAAACACGCCAGCGUUUGAUUGCCGGCGUUUUUGGGUCUUAGUGUCGUCGAAAAAUCGUGUGUGCCGGUAACGAAGCCAGUCAAAUUGAAUAAGCACGAAGUGAACUAAUUGAAACGGUACGCGAGAAGGGAGGAACUCUUGGAGCAUGUCGUAAAUUAAUUCCGCAGCUCACAAGCGACUCAGAAAUCUCAGUGAGCAUGGUAAUGACAAGUUAUAAACCGCCAAUGUCGUCUGCAACCGCACAGGCCUGAAGUCGGUCGUAAUUAUACAUGUACUCGCACCUCCGGGGCGAAAUUGACUCCCGGAGUCGGACAGGUAGUCGAUGUUGACUUUCAGACGAACCGGCUGAAUUAUUGAAGAGCUAAUCGGGUAAUUGUUGAAUUUUCGCGGGGAAUUUAAUCAACCAGUUUUAUUUCCGCAUCAUCGCAGAAAUCUGCAAGGAUAACCUUCGGAACUCAAUCAGAGGCAACGAUCUGUCUUGGAGUUCAUGGUACGCUUCACAGGGAAACAUCAGAUUGCUGGGAAAUUUGCGCCAAAAUAAAUGGGUUUUUGAUUGGGGCAUAUUGCGCACCCACCUCAUUCCCGGAAUUAUCAAAAUCACGUUUUCGCCUUAUCCGAACGAAAUUAACAACGACGAGGAAGAAGUGCGCGAUAGACGACGCCGCACACGGCGACAACUUCCGCCGACUGUCACUUGUCAAGUCCGGGAUGUGAUAGCUCCCGGAAUCGGGCGGCGGUAGCACUUAGCGGCCGUCAGGUCUCAUUCUUAAUUUACAACGCCAUUACUCAUUCCUCUGCCUCCUCGGCGCUAGUGUGCGAUGCUAAUCACGCAGUUGAGUUGCUCCACUCACCCGCUAUUUUCACAAACGAAUCACAAACCCACUCUGAGCACUUUCGAUUUCGCCCCAAAUAAAACCCUCUUUCAAACCAACGACACUUUUAAUUUUCUUCACUCAAAACAUUAACAAACUUUUCAGACAUCAGAAACGUUUAAAAAUUAAAACACUGCCACGACCAUUCCGUCCAGGCUGGUGAUUUUUCUGAGCUUUAUGCAUACUUGAAAUUAGAAAUUCAAAAAACCUGCCGAUAUUUAUGUUGUUAGCCAUUGGAGAUCCACAUCCGGCGGUGCCAGCAAAAAGUGGGAAGCGACUGGGAAUAUCCGGUUAUGAUAAAAAAUUUGGCUUUCUGUAUUCUCUUUCCAAGACCUUUCAAAGUGAGUAGUAAACGUUGCAAGUUAAAUUAUUCAUGAACAAGUUGAUAAAAACCCGAAACUUUAAGAGAGCAAACU